CGGGGUGAGUAAUGCAUCGGGACCUACCUGAAAGUGGGGGAGUAACGUAGGGAAACUUACGCUAAUACCGCAUACGUCCUACGGGAGAAAGCGGGGGAUCUUCGGACCUCGCGCGGUCGGAUGAACCGAUGUGCGAUUAGCUAGUUGGCGGGGUAAUGGCCCACCAAGGCGACGAUCGCUAGCUGGUCUGAGAGGAUGAUCAGCCACACUGGAACUGAGACACGGUCCAG
rnacentral:rRNA from 1 species